rnacentral:rRNA from 1 species
GUUGGCCUCGGAUCAGGUGGGGAUACCCGCUGAACUUAAGCAUAUCAAUAAGCGGAGGAAAAGAAACCAACAGGGAUUGCCUCAGUAACGGCGAGUGAAGCGGCAACAGCUCAAAUUUGAAAUCUGGCUCCUUCGGGGUCCGAGUUGUAAUUUGUAGAGGGUGCUUCGAGUGAAGCCCCGGCCCAAGUCCCUUGGAACAGGACGUCAGAGAGGGUGAGAACCCCGUGUCCGGCCGGCGGCGCUCCUCGCGUGAAGCCCCUUCGACGAGUCGAGUUGUUUGGGAAUGCAGCUCUAAAUUGGUGGUAAAUUCCAUCUAAAGCUAAAUACCGGCCAGAGACCGAUAGCGCACAAGUAGAGUGAUCGAAAGAUGAAAAGCACUUUGAAAAGAGAGUCAAAAAGUACGUGAAAUUGUUGAAAGGGAAGCGCUUGCGGCCAGACUUGCCCGCGGAUGUUCAGCCCGUCUUCUGGCGGGUGCACUCUUCCGCGGUCAGGCCAGCAUCGGUUUCGGCGGUCGGACAAAGGCCUUGGGAACGUGGCCCCCCUCGGGGGGUGUUAUAGCCCUCGGUGCAAUGCGGCCAGCCGGGACCGAGGAUCGCGCUCUGCUAGGAUGCUGGCGUAAUGGCCGUAAGCGGCCCGUCUUGAAACACGGACCAAGGAGUCUAACAUCUAUGCGAGUGUUUGGGUGUCAAACCCGUGCGCGUAAUGAAAGUGAACGGAGGUGGGAGCCCUCGGGCGCACCAUCGACCGAUCCUGAUGUCUUCGGAAGGAUUUGAGUAAGAGCAUAGCUGUUGGGACCCGAAAGAUGGUGAACUAUGCCUAGAUAGGGUGAAGCCAGAGGAAACUCUGGUGGAGGCUCGCAGCGGUUCUGACGUGCAAAUCGAUCGUCAAAUCUGGGUAUAGGGGCGAAAGACUAAUCGAACCAUUUAGUAGCUG